rnacentral:rRNA from 1 species
GGAGGCAGCAGUGAGGAAUUUUGCGCAAUGGGGGCAACCCUGACGCAGCAACGCCGCGUGAGUGAAGAAGGCCUUUGGGUCGUAAAGCUCUGUCAACAGGGAAGAAAUUAUAAUUGUUUAAUAGAUGAUUGUAUUGACGGUACCUGUGGAGGAAGCGCCGGCUAACUCCGUGCCAGCAGCCGCGGUAACACGGGGGGCGCAAGCGUUAUUCGGAAUUAUUGGGCGUAAAGGGCGCGCAGGCGGUCUUGUCCGUCAGGUGUGAAAGCUCGGGGCUCAACCCCGGAAGUGCACUUGAAACAGCAAGACUUGAAUACGGGAGAGGAAAGCGGAAUUCCUGGUGUAGAGGUGAAAUUCGUAGAUAUCAGGAGGAACACCGAUGGCGAAGGCAGCUUUCUGGACCGAUAUUGACGCUGAGGCGCGAAGGCGUGGGUAGCGAACGGGAUUAGAUACCCCGGUAGUCCACGCAGUAAACGUUGUACACUCGGUGUGGCGGAUAUUAAAAUCUGCUGUGCCUAAGCUAACGCAUUAAG